CUGUUAUAGAGAACUUACGUAUUCAUUGCUGUUUUCUAUUUCUAUUUUUAUUCUUAUAUUUAAAAUUUUUCGUACGAAAAGAGGAAAAUGGACGCUAAUUUUUCGCCGAAAAAUGGGUCUGUCGACAGACCCAAAUUUGAAUAUACGUGCUUUUAUAUACAGUAUAGAUAACUAGGCUACUAUAUAUAUAAUAGCACAGUAGUCCUUG
rnacentral:lncRNA from 1 species